AAUAGAUACCCAGGUAGUCCACGCCGUAAACGAUGAGUGCUGAGUGUUAGGGGGUUUCCGCCCCUUAGUGCUGCAGCUAACGCAUUAAGCACUCCGCCUGGGGAGUACGGCCGCAAGGCUGAAACUCAAAGGAAUUGACGGGGGCCCGCACAAGCGGUGGAGCAUGUGGUUUAAUUCGAAGCAACGCGAAAAACCUUACCAGGUCUUGACAUCCUCUGACACUCCUAGAGAUAGGACGUUCCCCUUCGGGGGACAGAGUGACAGGUGGUGCAUGGUUGUCGUCAGCUCGUGUCGUGAGAUGUUGGGUUAAGUCCCGCAACGAGCGCAACCCUUGAUCUUAGUUGCCAGCAUUCAGUUGGGCACUCUAAGGUGACUGCCGGUGACAAACCGGAGGAAGGUGGGGAUGACGUCAAAUCAUCAUGCCCCUUAUGACCUGGGCUACACACGUGCUACAAUGGAUGGUACAAAGGGCUGCGAGACCGCGAGGUUUAGCCAAUCCCAUAAAACCAUUCUCAGUUCGGAUUAUAGG
rnacentral:rRNA from 1 species